GGCAGUGGUAGCUCGGUGGUUAGGACGUUGGACUAAUGAUCAGGAGGUCAUGAGUUCAAUCCCCAUCACCGCCA